rnacentral:rRNA from 1 species
GAUGAACGCUGGCGGCGUGCCUAAUACAUGCAAGUCGAGCGAAUGGAUUAAGAGCUUGCUCUUAUGAAGUUAGCGGCGGACGGGUGAGUAACACGUGGGUAACCUGCCCAUAAGACUGGGAUAACUCCGGGAAACCGGGGCCAAUACCGGAUAACAUUUUGAACCGCAUGGUUCGAAAUUGAAAGGCGGCUUCGGCUGUCACUUAUGGAUUGACCCGCGUCGCAUUAGCUAGUUGGUGAGGUAACGGCUCACCAAGGCAACGAUGCGUAGCCGGCCUGAGAGGGUAAUCGGCCACACUGGGACUGAGACACGGCCCAGACUCCUACGGGAGGCAGCAGUAGGGAAUCUUCCGCAAUGGACGAAAGUCUGACGGAGCAACGCCGCGUGAGUGAUGAAGGCUUUCGGGUCGUAAAACUCUGUUGUUAGGGAAGAACAAGUGCUAGUUGAAUAAGCUGGCACCUUGACGGUACCUAACCAGAAAGCCACGGCUAACUACGUGCCAGCCGCCGCCGUAA